GCAGUGGUGUUUCAGUGGUAGAAUUCUCACCUUCUAUGAGGGAGACCCGGGUUCCAAUCUUGGCCAGUGUA
rnacentral:tRNA from 1 species